rnacentral:rRNA from 1 species
GGGGGACCUGGCGGCGUGCUAUAAUGCAAGUCGAGCGAAUGGAUUAAGAGCUUGCUCUUAUGAAGUUAGCGGCGGACGGGUGAGUAACACGUGGGUAACCUGCCCAUAAGACUGGGAUAACUCCGGGAAACCGGGGCUAAUACCGGAUAACAUUUUGAACUGCAUGGUUCGAAAUUGAAAGGCGGCUUCGGCUGUCACUUAUGGAUGGACCCGCGUCGCAUUAGCUAGUUGGUGAGGUAACGGCUCACCAAGGCAACGAUGCGUAGCCGACCUGAGAGGGUGAUCGGCCACACUGGGACUGAGACACGGCCCAGACUCCUACGGGAGGCAGCAGUAGGGAAUCUUCCGCAAUGGACGAAAGUCUGACGGAGCAACGCCGCGUGAGUGAUGAAGGCUUUCGGGUCGUAAAACUCUGUUGUUAGGGAAGAACAAGUGCUAGUUGAAUAAGCUGGCACCUUGACGGUACCUAACCAGAAAGCCACGGCUAACUACGUGCCAGCAGCCGCGGUAAUACGUAGGUGGCAAGCGUUAUCCGGAAUUAUUGGGCGUAAAGCGCGCGCAGGUGGUUUCUUAAGUCUGAUGUGAAAGCCCACGGCUCAACCGUGGAGGGUCAUUGGAAACUGGGAGACUUGAGUGCAGAAGAGGAAAGUGGAAUUCCAUGUGUAGCGGUGAAAUGCGUAGAGAUAUGGAGGAACACCAGUGGCGAAGGCGACUUUCUGGUCUGUAACUGACACUGAGGCGCGAAAGCGUGGGGAGCAAACAGGAUUAUAUACCCUGGUA